GUCGGGUUGUGUAGGUUGCAUAACAUUAUGCCUCCAUUCAUCCGCCUAUUUAGUUUGAUUUAUUUACUUCCUCAUCCGAUUCCUCCUCCGGUUUGAUCGAUUCAAGUCCAAUUUAGUGCUGGCGACAGAAUAUUAAACACCCUAUAGUCGAUCGGAAAUCACAUUGUCGAUGUUCUUUUAUCUUUUAUUUAAAAAAUUAUUACACAACAAAGUCUCUGCUCGCUCAGUCUCUGCUUUCUUGCCAAUGCGAUUCUGUUCAAGCCGUAUCCCGCAUAAUCAAAAACUAUUGGCAAAACGUUUUUGAUUAUGCGGGAUGCUCAAUGCAAAAACAGCCAUUUUGUUUUACAAUUUUCAAGUGAGAUGUUGUGCGUCGUCAACUCCUCCGAUAAACAAUAUUAAAAAUAUAAUUUCUAAAAGACCCAGAGUACACAUCGAUACACAAAAAUGUGUACACAAGAAGGGUUACUCUGGCCACGUAUUCUUCUUCAUGGGCUACAGCCGUCGGGGUCAGCCGUAUCAGAAACUCGUCUCCACUUCAUUCAGUCCUGAGCUACUCGUCGCCGACACUCAUUACGGGUCGCUUCAAUAUUGUCGUCGAAACAUCUUUCACGUUGGGACAUUAUUCGUGGUUGGCGAAGUGAACAUAUAUUGCCGCAGUGUUGUUCGGCAUCCUCACAAAUUUUUUGUACAA